rnacentral:rRNA from 1 species
CCCUACGGGGUGCAGCAGGCGCGAAACCUUUACAAUGUGCGGAAGCAUGAUAAGGGAACUCCGAGUGCCAGUAUCUAAUACUGGCUGUCCUUGUGCCUAAAACGCACAAGAUAGCAAGGGCCGGGUAAGACCGGUGCCAGCCGCCGCGGUAACACCGGCGGCCCGAGUGGUAGCCGCUAUUAUUGGGUCUAAAGGGUCCGUAGCCGGUUCGAUAAGUCCUCUGGGAAAUCUGGUUGCUUAACAAUCAGACUGCCAAGGGAUACUGUCGAACUUGAGACCGGGAGAGGUAAGAGGUACUUCAGGGGUAGGAGUGAAAUCUUGUAAUCCCUGGGGGACCAUCUGUGGCGAAGGCGUCUUACCAGAACGGGUCUGACGGUGAGGGACGAAAGCUGGGGGCGCAAACCGGAUUAGAUACCCGGGUAGUCCCAGCCGUAAACGAUGCUCGCUAUGUGUCAGGUACGGUGUGACCGUAUCUGGUGCCGUAGGGAAGCCGUGAAGCGAGCCACCUGGGAAGUACGGCCGCAAGGCUGAAACUUAAAGGAAUUGGCGGGGGAGCAC